CCUACGGGGUGCAGCAGUGGGGAAUAUUGGACAAUGGGCGAAAGCCUGAUCCAGCCAUGCCGCGUGUGUGAAGAAGGCCUUCGGGUUGUAAAGCACUUUCAGUGGGGAAGAAAGCCUUGGGGCUAAUACCCUCGAGGAAGGACAUCACCCACAGAAGAAGCACCGGCUAACUCCGUGCCAGCAGCCGCGGUAAUACGGAGGGUGCGAGCGUUAAUCGGAAUUACUGGGCGUAAGGCGCGCGUAGGCGGUCUGAUAAGCCGGUUGUGAAAGCCCCGGGCUCAACCUGGGAACGGCAUCCGGAACUGUCAGGCUAGAGUGCAGGAGAGGAAGGUAGAAUUCCCGGUGUAGCGGUGAAAUGCGUAGAGAUCGGGAGGAAUACCAGUGGCGAAGGCGGCCUUCUGGACUGACACUGACGCUGAGGUGCGAAAGCGUGGGUAGCAAACAGGAUUAGAUACCCUUGUAGUC
rnacentral:rRNA from 1 species